rnacentral:rRNA from 1 species
CGGCUAACUACGUGCCAGCAGCCGCGUAAUACGUAGGGCGCAAGCGUUAAUCGGAAUUACUGGGCGUAAAGCGUGCGCAGGCGGUUCCGCAAGUCAGAUGUGAAAUCCCCGGCUCAACCUGGGAACUGCAUUUGAAACUACGGGGCUAGAGUGUGUCAGAGGGGGGUAGAAUUCCACAUGUAGCAGUGAAAUGCGUAGAGAUGUGUAGGAAUACCGAUGGCGAAGGCAGCCCCCUGGGAUGACGCUGACGCUCAUGCACGAAAGCGUGGGGAGCAAACAGGAUUAGACCUGGUCACGCCCUAAACGAUGUCAACUAGUCGCUGGGUCUUUAUUGANUCAGUAACGCGACUAACGCGUGAAGUUGACCGCCUGGGGAGUUCGGUCGCAAGAUUAAAACUCAAAGGAAUUGACGGGGACCCGCACAAGCGGUGGAUGAUGUGGAUUAAUUCGAUGCGCGAAAAACCUUACCUACCCUUGACUCUGGAAUCCCGAUGAGAGUUGGGAGUGCUCGAAAGAG